AACGAACGCUGGCGGCAGGCUUAACACAUGCAAGUCGAGCGCCCCGCAAGGGCUUCGGCCGCGGGGUGAGUACCGCGUGGGAACGUACCCUUAUCUUCGGGAUAGCUCCGGGAGACUGGAAUUAAUACCGAAUGUGCCCUUUGGGGGACAGAUUUAUCGGGUAAGGAUCGGCCCUCGUUGGAUUAGCUUGUUGGUGGGGUAAAGGCCUACCAAGGCGACGGUCCAUAGCUGGUCUGAGAGGAUGAGCAGACACAUUGGGACUGGGACACAGCCCAAACUCCUACGGGAGGCAGCAGUGGGGAAUACUGGACAAUGGGGGCAAGCCUGAUCCAGCCAUGCCGGGUGAGUGAUGAAGGCCGUAGGGUUGUAAAGCUCUUUCACCCGAGAAGAUAAUGACGGUACCCGGAGAAGAAGCCCCGGCUAACUUCGUG
rnacentral:rRNA from 1 species